GCGGCCGCUACGUCAGCGCCCCGGGUGGCGCCGCCUCCGCCCGCCGGCCUGGGCCCCGCUCCCGCCGCCGGGAAGGCGGGCCGCGGUAGAAGCUGGGGGCUGCCUUGCUUCCUCGUACGAUCCGGUGAACUUUCCCGAUGCUCCGGCAAAAGUCAGGGGACCCGAGAGUGAACUGUUUGUUGUAGGACACAGCUUACCUGGGAUUGGUGCCGCCCAGGACCCCUUAUUAUAACCCAUAGACCCACAGACCUUAGGAGCGGAGGACAGUCCAGUCUGUACAUCAGCUGUGUUCCUGGUGCCUUGGAGGCCAGAAGAGAGUGUCAGAUCUUCUUAGGCUGGGGAUGCAGACUCUUGUGAGCUGCCAUGUGAGUGCGGGACUUGAACAGCAGCCAAAUACUUUUAACCCCUGAGCCAUCACUUCAGCAUCACCCCCACACCUUCUUUAAAACAGUCUCUUGUAACCAUAACUGAGAACUAUCUUGAAGCCUGAAUACUCC
rnacentral:lncRNA from 1 species